UACGUAGAUGGCAAGCGUUAUCCGGAAUUAUUGGGCGUAAAGAGCGCGCAGGUGGUUGAUUAAGUCUGAUGUGAAAGCCCACGGCUUAACCGUGGAGGGUCAUUGGAAACUGGUCGACUUGAGUGCAGAAGAGGGAAGUGGAAUUCCAUGUGUAGCGGUGAAAUGCGUAGAGAUAUGGAGGAACACCAGUGGCGAAGGCGGCUUCCUGGUCUGUAACUGACACUGAGGCGCGAAAGCGUGGGGAGCAAACAGGAUUAGAUACCCCU
rnacentral:rRNA from 1 species